rnacentral:lncRNA from 1 species
GAUAAUCCAAUCGUGCCGUUGAUGGCAGUCCCUGAGCAGCAAUGGCCACUACCUCUGCGGGCGGAGCACCAGCAAGAAUCAGCAUUAGAUGAUGAACACGAAAACAUUGAUCAAAAUGAUCAUGAUAACGAUCGAGAUGAUGAUGAUGAUGGAGAUGAUAGGGAUGAUGAUGAAGACGAAGAUGAAGAUGAAGAUGGAGGAGGUGGGUACAAAAUUGUUACAAACAAGCAGCAAUCUUCAGUUACAAGCACUGCAUUUGAGUAAGCUAUUUAGAGAGAGAAAAG